AAACUGAAAUAAAACCAGAGCAUCAGCCUUGUAAAUGGAAGCGCUCCCCAUGAGCGGGGGCGGACUUUCCCACUGCGGAAGCUCCGUGUCUGGAAUCCCUAACCCUACGCUGCCAAGCAAGCUCAAGUUGAGAGCCCCCCGCCGACCACGAGAGAGCCUGACAAAGGAAUAGCGACCGUUAAUCACUGUUCCGUGUCCACUCCGACCUCCCAGUUCGCUUCAUGAUUCCUCCUCCGGCCACCUGCCGCCAAGCACUCGGACCAGAUCACUCUGGCAACUGGUGAAUGCCCUCUGCUCAGAUAAGAGGACUGGUUUUCCCCUGCGCUCUCUCUACGGGGCUGCUUCACAAACAGCGGGCGGCUGGGAAUGGGCCUGCUUGCAGCGCUGGGCUGGCCGGAUCCGCUGGGCCCCCCUCGCCCCUACACCCACAGGGCUCAGGAAUAGGUCGCUAAGGCCUUGGCAUUGCUCACACUGAAGACGCGGCCCCGGGACGAGCUGGGGCACAGAUCGCGCCACCUAUCUGAGUCACAGUGAGGACGGGGCUGCUUCCGUUUAAUAACUUACCUUCCCACAGGCCUGCGACAAUGUCCCAGAGAUGGUGGGGCUUUUCUCCCUCGGGCCCAGUAACUAUCUUCACUCCGGCUGUCUGGGCAGGCACGUCCACCUACAAGAGAAUGACAGAGCAGCAUGGCAAAAUGACAUAGGAAGAUCUGUAAUUUCAUCCAACAAAACCAGAGGAAAGAGCGAUGGAAUGAGAAUUUGGAAAGAUCCUGCAGUAUUAUCUAUUCUUUCUACAGGUUUUCCUUUAAAUUCUUUCAAAUUCUCUUCAAGCUCGUACAUCUGGACUUUUUCUAAACAGUCUCAUUCAGGAGAAACCCCAAACCAGAAAUGUCUUCUUCAAUCAUCAAAACAUAGUAAGCACUGAUCCAGGGCUCAGAAGAACUGGUCCGGGUCCGAGCAGUUCCCAGCUUUC